ACUCCUACGGGAGGCAGCAGUGGGGAAUUUUGGACAAUGGGCGAAAGCCUGAUCCAGCAAUGCCGCGUGAGUGAAGAAGGCCUUCGGGUUGUAAAGCUCUUUUGUCAGGGAAGAAACGGUGAGAGCUAAUAUCUUUUGCUAAUGACGGUACCUGAAGAAUAAGCACCGGCUAACUACGUGCCAGCAGCCGCGGUAAUACGUAGGGUGCAAGCGUUAAUCGGAAUUACUGGGCGUAAAGCGUGCGCAGGCGGUUUUGUAAGUCUGAUGUGAAAUCCCCGGGCUCAACCUGGGAAUUGCAUUGGAGACUGCAAGGCUAGAAUCUGGCAGAGGGGGGUAGAAUUCCACGUGUAGCAGUGAAAUGCGUAGAUAUGUGGAGGAACACCGAUGGCGAAGGCAGCCCCCUGGGUCAAGAUUGACGCUCAUGCACGAAAGCGUGGGGAGCAAACAGGAUUAGAUACCCGUGUAGUCCCAUG
rnacentral:rRNA from 1 species